AUCGCCCGUGCUUCUGCCUCCAACGUGAUCUGGCUUGUGUGGGACACGGCUUGAGGUCAGGGUUGGGGGAAGAUCUGAGGAACCAGACUGACUCCUUGGAGGAAGAAGAGGAGGAGAAAGGAGAAAAACAGAGAGAGUGGGGAUGGUGAAUCCAGGAAUGUCAGGAGAAGAGGGAGGAACACCUGUUACUUUCUGAGCCUCUGCUCUGUGCCAGGCGCUUAACACAAGAGCUACCAUUUCACUCCUCGUCACCACCCCAGAAUUUAGUGUUCUCAGUCCUCAGUUUAGAGGAGAAGAAGCCCAGAGAGGGUGAGUAGCCCGCUUAAGGGGCCACAACUGUGUGGAACAGGAUCGAGCAUUCGAACUGAUCACUGUCUGCGACCUCUAUGGACGUCCUCCCACCCAGGAGGCUGCAGGGACCCAGCAGGGAAAAAGGACAAGGUCAGAGGGGUGACAACUGAGAUGCUCCAAGCUGAGAAGCCUGCCUGCUGAGGGGCAGGGAAACUGGACGCACAGCUGGGAUUGUGACCAGUGAGAAGUUCGGCCGUGAACGUGGCCUGUGGCUCGUCACAGUGAAAGUUAUGGCUGCAGGCGCCACGUGGGCUGUGUGCUGAGUGUUCUCCUUUGUGCCAACGCACAAUCUAGGUACCCACAGCUAACCUGCUAUGUAGAGAGGAUCGCUCUGGUUUUACUGAUGAGGACACUAAGACCUGGAGAAUGGGGAGGGGUGUUUAGUCCAGGACUAAACAGCUGGAGCCAGAGUCAGAACUCAGAUCUCUUCUGGAAGGUUUGUGGAAGGGUGGUGGGCUUGGGGGUUCACCCUUAGGAGCUUUCCAAGCUGCCAGGGCUUUCAGCAGAACGGAAGCCCCCCCUCUUGACCUGUCACUCAAGCCCCCUUCUUC
ensembl:lncRNA